rnacentral:lncRNA from 10 species
CGGAUCUCGCAAGUACCUGCUCACUAUGCAAGGUCAGCACCAAAUCAUGAGGGAUCUGUCCCUAUGGCCCCCACACCUCCCACCAGGCCCCACCUCCAACACUGGGCAUCACAAUUCAACAUGAGACUUAGAGGGGGCAACAUACAAACUGUAUCAGGUGGAGCCGCAUGACGGGACUAGUGCCCUCAGGAAGAGGAAGAGAUUCCAGAACUUUCUCUCUGUGUCACUUGAGGACACGGCCGGAAGGCAGCCCUGCCUGGACCUUGAAGCUGGACUUCCAGCCUCCAGAACUUGUGUCCAUUUCCAGGUUGAUCGAAGCUGGCAGAGGAUAGAAGAGCUCUGUGGCCGAGUGAGCUGUUUCUGGAGCCAGAUGAGUCUUUGGCAGAGCCUGAGGUCCCCUGCUACUACUGGGCCAAGACGAAUUGACAGAACUUCCAAAACACUUUGCAAAGACAGCGAGUGCACAAAGCUGCAGCUCACAGCCUUGUCCCGUGGCCGGGAGACAGGAUGCAUGCUGAGCUGCUGGGAGGAGGGACAGGAGGAAAAGUGCCUGCAGCUGCAGGAGCACCCACUUGAGAUGCCUCCUGUGUUCAAUCAAGUUCAGAGUAAUUGCUUCCUCACUCCUCCUGGCAAAACUGUUCAACUUGGCACAGUGACAGCUCCUUGUAGAGUUUUUCCAGCUGAUGUCAUUCUUCCUAAGGUCUGCUAGGGUCCCAGCUAACACGACUGUGUUGCACUGGCAUCCAGACCUCCACCAGGAGCAAUUCAAAGGCCUAUUUUUGUGAAUAUGUGGCAAAGAUCCCAGGCUCCAUGGAGGCCUUUUGCACUGGGGACAUGGUGGAAAAUUAAGCCCCAGAGGUAACUACCUACCUGAACGGCAUGAGACCAGCUGAUUAGAUGACAGAAUGGGCAGAUCCGUGGAAGGGAUUGAGUGAGCACUAACAUCGAGCAUUCUUAUAAACUAAGUGAGACUGCAAGAGUCAGGGGCCACUGUGCACAAUUGUGUGAGCUGUGUUUUGCAGCAGGUGUCUGGGGAGCUCAAAUCCACCCACAAAGGGAAGCCUUUCUGACUUGUACAAAGGGCCAUAAGUGGUGGCUCGAACCUGAGGCUCUACCAUGCAGUGAGUGUGGAGAUGUGGAGAUGGGUACACAGGAAUGGACAAUCUAGAGAGGGGAAGAGACUAACAUCCAGCAGCACGUUAACUGUGAAAGCAAACUAAAUAUGGCCUGAGAAGGACUCCAUACUUCUAUAUUUGAGUCCUCGCGGAUGGACUGUAACCUAGCUUAAUAGGCGGACAAAAUUGCAAACAUAACCUGGUAGUAUGCACCUCCAACAAUAGCUAAGUCUUGGCCAACCCCAGUGGCCAUACUCAACCAACCAUACACUGCUGAGUGUUCAAAUUAGGCAUACGCCAAGCAGUAACCAAUCCAGCUGUUUUAUACUUCACUUCUAAUUUCUGUACAUCAUUCCCCCCCCCCCACCUUUUUUUGUCUAUAAAUCUUCUCCACCUGGCUGUGCUGGAGUCUCUGUGAACCUGCUGUGAUUCUGGGGGCUGCCCAAUUCUCAAAUCGAUCAUUGCUCAAUUAAACUUUAAAUUUAAUUCAGCUGAAGUUUCUCUUGCAUCAACUGCUAUAGUAUUUCAGUUUAGUUUCUUUCUCUUUUCUUGAAACUAAUAUGUACUUA